UACAUGCUAAAAACCUCGACUUCGGAAGGGGUGUAUUUAUUAGAUAAAAAACCAAUGCCCUUCGGGGCUCCUUGGUGAUUCAUAAUAACUUAACGAAUCGCAUGGCCUUUGUGCCGGCGAUGGUUCAUUCAAAUUUCUGCCCUAUCAACUUUCGAUGGUAGGAUAGUGGCCUACCAUGGUUUCAACGGGUAACGGGGAAUUAGGGUUCUAUUCCGGAGAGGGAGCCUGAGAAACGGCUGCCACAUCCAAGGAAGGCAGCAGGCGCGCAAAUUACCCAAUCCCGACACGGGGAGGUAGUGACAAUAAAUACUGAUACAGGGCUCUUUUGGGUCUUGUAAUUGGAAUGAGUACAAUUUAAAUCCCUUAACGAGGAACAAUUGGAGGGCAAGUCUGGUGCCAGCAGCCGCGGUAAUUCCAGCUCCAAUAGCGUAUAUUAAAGUUGUUGCAGUUAAAAAGCUCGUAGUUGAACCUUGAGCCUGGCUGGCCGGUCCGCCUCACCGCGUGCACUGGUCCGGCCGGGCUUUUCCUUCUGGGGAGCCGCAUGCCCUUCACUGGGUGUGUCGGGGAACCAGGACUUUUACUUUGAAAAAAUUAGAGUGUUCAAAGCAGGCCUAUGCUCGAAUACAUUAGCAUGGAAUAAUAGAAUAGGACGUGUGGUUCUAUUUUGUUGGUUUCUAGGACCGCCGUAAUGAUUAAUAGGGAUAGUCGGGGGCAUCAGUAUUCAAUUGUCAGAGGUGAAAUUCUUGGAUUUAUUGAAGACUAACUACUGCGAAAGCAUUUGCCAAGGAUGUUUUCAUUAAUCAGUGAACGAAAGUUAGGGGAUCGAAGACGAUCAGAUACCGUCGUAGUCUUAACCAUAAACUAUGCCGACUAGGGAUCGGGCGAUGUU
rnacentral:rRNA from 1 species